UACAGAUGGUGCCGCCCUCUACCCAACGUGGGUCCUGUUCCCCAUGUUUUCUUGAAGACAACGGAUCGUGAGUGGCCGUGCUGUUUCUGCCUAAGCCUGAGAAUUGUAGUGAGGGAUGUCACAGCUGGUAGGCUCACCGAGACAGAGCUUGCCUUCUCACGGUUCUUCAUUCUAGUGAAGAGUGGCCUGCUAUGGGACACCGGUGAAGACACACAGCACAGGCCUCCCCGAGCCAAGGAAGCGGCAGCCAGGGUCGGAGCAGCACCUGCAUCUUCCUCCCGCUGUGCUCCACACAGACUGCGCGCCCCAGCAGCUUCCAUCUGCUCCCCGUGCUGCCCUCUGGAAGGCGCUGUCGCUCCGAACUCACCACCCCGCAACGCCACCCCACACACUCCACAGGUCAUCUGGGAGGUGUUCGGCAACCUCGGAUUCUGACUUGCUUGGUUUGGAAGAAAUAUGUAAUUAAAAUGCAGCCAGCGGAGUGCUCGCUUUUCUGUAAGUAGCAUCCUUUACUCAUUCUGAACUCAGAAACUAGGAAG
rnacentral:lncRNA from 1 species